AGUCCCGCAACGAGCGCAACCCUUAAGCUUAGUUGCCAUCAUUAAGUUGGGCACUCUAAGUUGACGGCCGGUGACAAACCGGAGGAAGGUGGGGAUGACGUCAAAUCAUCAUGCCCCUUAUGAUUUGGGCUACACACUUGCUACAAUGGACAAUACAAAGGGCAGCGAAACCGCGAGGUCAAGCAAAUCCCAUAUAGUUGUUCUCAGUUCGGAUUGUAGUCUGCAACUCGACUACAUGAAGCUGGAAUCGCU
rnacentral:rRNA from 1 species